GAUGAACGCUGGCGGCGUGCCUAAUACAUGCAAGUCGAGCGAACAGACGAGGAGCUUGCUCCUCUGACGUUAGCGGCGGACGGGUGAGUAACACGUGGAUAACCUACCUAUAAGACUGGGAUAACUUCGGGAAACCGGAGCUAAUACCGGAUAAUAUAUUGAACCGCAUGGUUCAAUAGUGAAAGACGGUUUUGCUGUCACUUAUAGAUGGAUCCGCGCCGCAUUAGCUAGUUGGUAAGGUAACGGCUUACCAAGGCAACGAUGCGUAGCCGACCUGGGAGGGUGUUCGGCCACACUGGAACUGAGACACGGUCCAGACUCCUACGGGAGGCAGCAGUAGGGAAUCUUCCGCAAUGGGCGAAAGCCUGACGGAGCAACGCCGCGUGAGUGAUGAAGGUCUUCGGAUCGUAAAACUCUGUUAUUAGGGAAGAACAAAUGUGUAAGUAACUAUGCACGUCUUGACGGUACCUAAUCAGAAAGCCACGGCUAACUACGUG
rnacentral:rRNA from 1 species